AAGGGCAGGAUGUGGAGCUACAAGCAGUAGACGGCUUUUCUUGUUUGUCUCCUACAACAAAACAAGUAGGAGUGAAAGGACGGAUACAGAUACAGUCUAGGAAAAUGCAUGGAUUUUUAUGAUAAAUUUGGUUCAAAUGGCAAGGAAAUGCGGCACGCAAAAUAAUUACUUGUCCAGUGUUUAGGGCGAGAAGCUGUCAGAGCGAGAUACAGAAGAGCAUGUUUGCAGCAGUAGGAGAGAAUGUUCUCAACAGUAGGAGAGCAUGUUUGUAGUAGUAGGAGAGCAUGUGAAGAAACUGUGAUCAUAGAAAGAAAAUAAGGUUUGACCUUGCAGCAGUUUGAUGAUUUUUUUGCCGCUGUAGCUACAACUACUUUUAAUACAUAGUUUUUGUUCAUAAAACUCUAUCUGACAGCAAAGGGCCACAGUGGUUAUCUGUACAGGUACCUCACCUGUUGUCCUAUUUUUCUCACGGCUAGAUAGUUCAUUCAUGUUUUUCUGAGCUAGGACACGCGGAGUUGUUGGCAGCAGCAAAGUGUGUUUGGAGAGUUAGAGUUGUAGAUUAAAAAAGAAAGCAAAAACCAAUUAUCGAAAUCCAGUUUUUUUAUGAUCGACGCACAAGUCUUAGGUGUGCAUUUUAAACGGACGAGGAAGCUACUUUUGUUUCGUAGUAAAUCUACUACAGUCAUUUGUUCAUGGAUGCUUUUUGAGGAGGUUUCUUUUCUGAAUACGAAGCACCAUGGGGAUGAGUGGAAACAGGAUGAACGGUGUGAAGAUGAUCAGGUUAUUGUCACACGAGGCGGAGGAUAUAGAUGACAUCCCAGAUGAGCUCCGCAACGAUGACUUGCUGACCAUUGCUCCUGAAAGAAAAACUAAUCAGCCGACUUCAAUGCAUAGGGCGCUGACUGAGAGCCGAAUUCAGGGUACACGGAGCAUGAAACACCUUCUGAACAACCACGAGCUCCUCAGAGUCAGGAGGCAUCUUCUCAACAUAGAAGGCAGAAGGAAUAGUUUCCUCUUCAACAACUGGAUGGGGCCUUCAGUUAUUCUGAUGGCUGACGCGGGCUUUCAUUAUAGCAGACACCAGGUUGCCACCUGUUCAUUUUGUGACGUGUCCAUCCGAGACUGGAAGCCUGACCACAGUCCCUGGGUCCGCCACAAGACCUUCUCACCUUUAUGUGCAUACUUACGAUGCAAGGGAGAGAGUGGGAUUCACCCCUCGGCUUCUGGCAAAAGGACCAGGCAUGACUCAUAUUCCUCGUUUGAGGAGAUAAAGGCUGGAUGUGCAUACGACUAAGUCCCGGAUGUCGAGAGAACAGGGUGACGACAUCCAUUCACUGCCGCACGUGACAAUCACGUAGGUCACGUGCCAUAUUUUCUCAGAGGCCUUCUUCACAAGUAAAGGUUUUGAGUGCAUCUCUCUUUGUGAAGAUUGAAAUAUUACAGAAUUCCAUCCAUGAUCAUCUUUACUGGCGAGAUAUAACUGUCAGUGUGGCAUAAAUAUCAGACAUGUUCCAGUGUCAGGGCUUCCCACAGCUUCCAAAAGGUUCAUUUGAUGGAAGAAAGGAUUGUAGCCGGGAAGGAGGAAGAAAAAGCAUGAGAAAUUUAAGAAUCUCUUUAUUUACUGGUCAGGUGUCUCAAGAACAUUAUUGUUUGAGUUUGUUAUGUUGAAGCAAAUAUAUUGGACAGCAGAUGAAUUCUGGAAUUAUUUUUUAACAUUAGCGCAAUCUAGUAAAGUUUAAAAGUAUGAGAAUGUGUGAGUAGCUAUGAUUUUUUAUUUUAGUUAAUGGAGGGACUACUUAUUGUAAAUAAGAAAAAAACCACCUUAUAAAGAGAGUAAUAAUAAAACAAUUUUUUAAAAAUUAUUUCACGUUUGAAAUCCGGCUUUUCGUUUCCAAAGAAUAAAGUCAUUCAGGUUAUUUCUAGUCCAUAAUUGUAUUUAUCCAGAGGAGACCAUUUCGAAGCUCCUGACUUACGCGUUUAUCUUUUUGUUUCUUUAUCUUCCUUAUAACUUUACUUUAUUUAUUUAAUUCAGUUGUUCUUAUUUAUUAAUUAAAUGUACAGCUUACAAUCAUAUAAACUGCAUAAUAAUGUUCUCUCCUUUUUUGUUCUUGAAAAGAGUAGUUUCAAUAAAUGUUUACUUGUCACAAAUUUUAAAGUAGACCAUUCUUUAGUCAUACCUUUGAACAGCACUUAAAUGUAUUUUCUAGGUCACUCAUUAGAACCAUGUGUUUGUGUGUGUGAAGUAUAUAGAAGUAUAUUUAAUCAUUCGUUUUGACUGAUUUGUACACCUGAUGUUUUGCUGAACAACUUACCCUUAUAGAUAUUUUUAUACACCGGUAGGUCAUAGGUAAGGUCAAUUGACGGCCUCGGCACAUUCAAUGCCAUUCCAGAAGUUUCUUAGGACUGUUGAUAUGGAACAGACUUAAAUACUCGAAAUUCAAUACCUCUUAAAGUCUCAGGUAAGCAUCUGCUUUUGCCAAUUAGGCAAUAAUGUUUGAAACUAAAGAUAAACUGGAAAGUUUAUGUUUGUUUUGGCUCAUCUUAUCUGAAAUAGCAUGUUCAAAAAGAAGACAGCUAUAAAAAUAUUCAAAAGCUUUAAAAAUGGAUUUUAAAAAUGUUAUGCAUAGAUUGCACAUUAUUUGUAAAAAUAUUCUGCUGUUGAUUUUAUGUCGUAUCUCACUCACAAUGCUUGUAGUAAUUGUCACAGAUUAUGCAAUUGUUUCUUGCUCACCAUGCUUUGUUUUAUAUCUGAACAGGGUUUGUACCAUCAUAAAAUUUAAGUAUAGAAAAAUAAAAUUUAGGAAUAGAUUAUCAUAAUUUAAGGUCGGAUGCUUCAUUCUUCACCAGUUAAAGCUUUUGGUGAGGUUGGGGGCUAUUUAUAUUUUUUAUCACACUUUUAAAAGAAAAAAAAAACUUCCCGCUUUACAGAUUGUAACGGAAGAACACUUCACCAGUCUGGUGAAAACUCGACUGCCGUUAAAUAAUUAUCUAUCCGCGUUUCUGGAAAAAUCUCCAGGAUUAAUAGAAAAGAUGGUCAUAGAAAGUAUACGGGCCAUGAUAGGCUUAGAGACAUCAAGGUAUGUGUCAUUAACAGACAUUCCCAUCGGCUAGUGCCUUGACAACACAAACUCAUCCUUGCAUUACCCUGAGGAAGUAUCACUUACAUUUGAGAAAAUAAUAUCUUGCAAAGAGUUUGUCUCAAUCAUAUCUUUUGUGUUUUGAAGUACAACACUGUUCGCUUGCUUUAUAUAUGUGGAUAUUUUUUGUAAUACAUUUUUAAACUUGUUCUUAAUAAAAUAAUAUGAUGUUUGUUUUUCUUUGUAAUCAGUGAUUUUGUUAGUUCUAUACUAACAUUUUUAGCUUUAUCACUUGGAAUAUUUCUAAUAUUAUUUAAAUCGAGACGACCACUUCUACAUGACAUUUAAAAUGUCAUUUUACUUCCCUAAACUGAUAUCGAAAAAGAAAUUUUUAGUAAACAUAAUUUUCUUUAACUUUGCUUUUAAUAUUUUAAUGCUCAGUGUAUGUGAUUAAUAUUGCAAGAAGAAAAAACAUCUGUAAGGUGAAUGUGAUCUUGUUGACAAUGGACAAAUGAAUGCAGUCGUUUCUAAGAAAUUGAUGUGGACUUCUUAUUGACUGAAUUCAAUGGUCUAGACAUGUCUUGGCACGAAUUGCCGCUGUACGUAAUCCCUUAGUAAUAUCGGGAAUUCACGAGCAAAACUUGUGACUGCCACACGAAUGAUGACAAGAAGUGCAACUAUAUAAACCUUGUGCUGCCUUUGCUCUGGUUCGCGCGUUCGACUUCUGACUGCACUGCAUAAACAGUUAAGGAUCCUUGAGGCAGCAGUUGGUGGUUCUAGCUAAGGAGUCGAAAAUGUUGGAGAAGAGGCUGCUUGACGUCACACCCCGGUAUGGCGCGCCUCGCCGACAGCCCUGCGUCAUGUGCAAGAGGCAGCCCUCGACUGUUGUAUUCCUGCCUUGUGCGCACAAAGUCACGUGUCGUGCCUGCAGUGACGUCAUCAGAAAGUGCGUCAUCUGCAAGAGGUUAAUCAUGGGACUGUGCCACACGUAAAUCCCUAGCAACUGAACAAGAUGAAACAUUUACAGGGAGGUCGUCACAAGUAUUGCUACUUCAACGUUUUCUGAACUUUCUCAUAUUUCUUGUUGACUACUCUGCCCAAUGUCCAGAAGAUAAACAAUUCAAUUAAAUAGGACACCAUGCAAUAAAAUAUGUUUGAAAUCAAGUAGGUGUCCAAAGGAUUAGAACUGUUCUUAAAAAUGUGGAUGAAGUGCUCAUGCAUUUGAGAUCACGAGGUCUCUCUUCUCCAUCAUCUUAAACAUCCGAUAUGCCCAUCAGCAGUAGGAGUGGCCUCCAGCCAGCAGCUGUAGUCCAGCCUCACAGGGACAUCGUGCCUGCGCUGUGUGCUGAUGUGGUUCUCUUCUGUGAAUCAGCUCACAACAAAGAAACAUUUCUAUCUCUGGUCUAAACAGAAGUAGAUAAUCAAGAUGCUUUGCUUUGUAUUGCACAAGGAUAUUCCAGAAUAAUUUGAAUUUGAAUUCAGUAUAUUUCGCUAACCAUACUUCGAUUGUGAAAUGAAAUCUUCAAACAAAACUCCAUAAUGGUCAAAAUAAGAAAUAAAGGUUUUAUGAAAAAGUCAUUGAAAUAUACUCAGGGAAAAA